CUGCAUAGUUCCUUCAGAUCUGAAUUAUAACCUAGCUGAUAGAGUAUUCUUGGUGAGGCGUUUAUUUUAUUGAGAUUUUGUAGUAAAUUCUUCCAUUUUAUUCUGGCUUGUCAUGUAUCUGUUGUAUAUAAGAUGGGCCUUUUUUUUUUUUUUAUCAGCACAGCAUUUUCAGUGAAAAUAGGUGACAUACCACUCAGAAAUAGGUUAUUCAUUGCAACUUUUGCCAUACAUAGAUGGAUUCAUGCAUACUGGCACAAAAUAAUCUCAAAGAUCAAUGUAAAAAACUAAAUGACAUAUGAUAAGUUGACUUCAUUUUUUUUUUUUGAGAAAGCAUGAUCUGAACAGAAUUGAAGUCAAAUAGCUUCCUGUAGAGAGUAACAAAACACAAGUUUUUU